CUCCAGACUCCUACGGGAGGCAGCAGUGAGGAAUAUUGGUCAAUGGGCGGGAGCCUGAACCAGCCAAGUCGCGUGAGGGAAGACGGUCCUAUGGAUUGUAAACCUCUUUUGUCGGGGAGCAAAGAGGCCACGUGUGGUCAAAAGCGAGAGUACCCGAAGAAAAAGCAUCGGCUAACUCCGUGCCAGCAGCCGCGGUAAUACGGAGGAUGCGAGCGUUAUCCGGAUUUAUUGGGUUUAAAGGGUGCGCGGGCGGGAGAUCAAGUCAGCGGUAAAAUGUCGGGGCUCAACCCCGGCCGGCCGUUGAAACUGGUUUUCUAGAGUUGGAGAGAAGUAUGCGGAAUUCGUGGUGUAGCGGUGAAAUGCAUAGAUAUCACGAAGAACUCCGAUUGCGAAGGCAGCAUACCGGCUCCAUACUGACGCUGAGGCACGAAAGCGUGGGGAUCGAACAGGAUUAGAUACCCGAGUA
rnacentral:rRNA from 1 species